rnacentral:rRNA from 1 species
ACUCCUGCGGGAGGCAGCAGUGGGGAAUUUUGGACAAUGGGCGAAAGCCUGAUCCAGCAAUGCCGCGUGAGUGAAGAAGGCCUUCGGGUUGUAAAGCUCUUUUGUCAGGGAAGAAACGGUGAAAGCUAAUAUCUUUUGCUAAUGACGGUACCUGAAGAAUAAGCACCGGCUAACUACGUGCCAGCAGCCGCGGUAAUACGUAGGGUGCAAGCGUUAAUCGGAAUUACUGGGCGUAAAGCGUGCGCAGGCGGUUUUGUAAGUCUGAUGUGAAAUCCCCGGGCUCAACCUGGGAAUUGCAUUGGAGACUGCAAGGCUAGAAUCUGGCAGAGGGGGGUAGAAUUCCACGUGUAGCAGUGAAAUGCGUAGAUAUGUGGAGGAACACCGAUGGCGAAGGCAGCCCCCUGGGUCAAGAUUGACGCUCAUGCACGAAAGCGUGGGGAGCAAACAGGAUUAGAUACCCGAGUAGUCC